CAGUCGAGCGGACCGACGGGAGCUUGCUCCCUUAGGUUAGCGGCGGACGGGUGAGUAACACGUGGGUAACCUGCCUGUAAGACUGGGAUAACUCCGGGAAACCGGGGCUAAUACCGGAUGCUUGAUUGAACCGCAUGGUUCAAUCAUAAAAGGCGGCUUCGGCUGCCGUUUACAGAUGGACCCGCGGCGCAUUAGCUAGUUGGUGAGGUAACGGCUCACCAAGGCGACGAUGCGUAGCCGACCUGAGAGGGUGAUCGGCCACACUGGGACUGAGACACGGCCCAGACUCCUACGGGAGGCAGCAGUAGGGAAUCUUCCGCAAUGGACGAAAGUCUGACGGAGCAACGCCGCGUGAGUGAUGAAGGUUUUCGGAUCGUAAAGCUCUGUUGUUAGGGAAGAACAAGUACCGUUCGAAUAGGGCGGUACCUUGACGGUACCUAACCAGAAAGCCACGGCUAACUACGUGCCAGCAGCCGCGGUAAUACGUAGGUGGCAAGCGUUGUCCGGAAUUAUUGGGCGUAAAGCGCGCGCAGGCGGUUUCUUAAGUCUGAUGUGAAAGCCCCCGGCUCAACCGGGGAGGGUCAUUGGAAACUGGGGAACUUGAGUGCAGAAGAGGAGAG
rnacentral:rRNA from 1 species